ensembl:lncRNA TRHDE-AS1 TRHDE antisense RNA 1
AUUCAACAAUAUACCUGAGAGCUUACUGCCACAAGACACUCAUGAGAGCUAGCAUUUAUGGUGGAUACUCUAUAUGCCAGGCACAGGGCGCCACGUAUUUUCCCUCGACAGUAACUUGGCAAGCUUUUCAUGUCACUCUGGCAUCGCUCAGAUUAUCAGCUACCCUUCAGAAAAAGAGCCCUGCGUUUCGAUGGCUAAGGAACUCUGACAGGAAGAGGAGAGGUCCCGACUAGAGGAGGGGGCAGCAUUCAUCUUUUGGCACCGGUGAGUCAGUUUGCGAAGUUGGCGGCAGCGAGACCCCGAGGCAUCUGGGAGACCCCGGAGUUCUGACUGCCCUACUCCGCUUUCGUUUCCUUCCCCCCACCCCUGGCUUCCCGGGUAUUGGAAGCCAGCUGGGUCCCCGGGGUCGCAGGCCGCCCAGAGGUUCGAGCCGCGCGCCGGGGUGGGGCAGCGCGGGGCACCGCCUCCCUCCAUACCUUCUCUCCCCGUGGAGCACAUAGGAGCUGCGGAAGAAGCCCAGGAGCUCAUUCUCGAUGAGCGCGUUGUAGAUAAUCUUCAGAUUGUAAUUCCUCUGCGCGUCCAGUGUCCUAUUCAGCACCACCACUAAGACCUGGGUUUGCGGGUAGAGGAAAAAACCGGCUACAGGGACAGCCCCGAACGCCCGGUCCUCGGCCAGCUGCACUUUCUCCACCGCCACUCGGGAAGCGUGCAGCACUACGUAGCGGGUGGCGUUCCGGCACGCGAUCUCCACGUUGACCUCCCCGGAGAAGGUGAAGUUCUCCAUGAAGGCGGUGAGCAUCAGAUUGUAGUGCAGCGGCUUCAGGUGGCCCGACAGGCGCAGCUGCGUCCACGGCUCCCACGGCUCCCGCUCCUCCUCCGACGGCGGCUGGGCCGACGUGGUCCCCGGACUGGCCACCCCACCCGCCUCGGGCUGCCAGGAGUCCCCGCCUGCGUGGUGGUUGCGCCGGGCCGAUCCAGGGAGGCUCCCGUUGCCGCCGCGCUCCGGAAAGCCUGAGGGGCCACCGUCGGCGCCUGGCGUGGCACUCGCCCCGCACUCGUCGAAGCGCAGGCUGAGCAGCACAGCGAGCAUUGUGACCGCGAGCAAUGCCACGAGGGACACAGCGAAGGCCAGCACAAGCCGCUUGUGUACGGCGAUGUGGCGCUCCGUGGUGCGGGGUCGCACUCCCACUGAGUCUGCCCACGGGUCGGAGAGCCCCCUGCUGCCAGCCCGAAGCGCGGCGUCGUCUUCCCCCAUCGCGGCUGCGAAGGCGGCGGCGUUCGGUCCUCUGGGUGGAAUGUGCUCGCAGCAGCAGUGACGGCGGCCACAGCACGGGAGGCACCCGAGCCAUACACCCUGCAGCUGGAGAGAAAAGGAUGGCCGAGGUGGGAGAGACUAGAGUGAACCAGCAGGAGGAAGUCCCAGGGCCGCGAAGCUACGACGGAGAUCCGUCCUGGAAAAGCCUUCUCCACCCUGGGCACUUUAAGCGGCGGUGGCGGCAAACGGCAGGAGGUUGCAGACCCGACAGCGAGACUCCCUCAUUCCAGUCUUGCUCUGCCCUCCGGAGAUGACAAGUGAGAAAGAAGUGUCCGGCCGGGCCAUCCCCUUCAGAGAAGCAACCACUUCACAAGAAGAUUCUGAAGUUGGCCAUUUUUGAUCCCAGAACAGUUUCUCAUAGAUUAGAAAUAUUGGAGUCUACACAAAAAUCGAUAUUCAUUUACAAGAUCAUCACUAAACUUAUCUUGCAUAACGUAAGUGGCAAGCUCUGACUUGUGAUUUUUUCAUAAGAAAAAUGUUUUUUAACUUAGUAUCAUUUCUACAACAAUGUCCCAUGAUAAUUGAUUCUAGGUGAUUUGAAACACUGCUUAGUCCUGUUUUAGAAAAAGCUCCCAUAUCUGAUUUAGUCUCAUAUGCAGCUUACUUCUAACAUCAGAUUGAAUUUGCAUUGAGUUACCUUACUCGGUUUAUUUUUUAAUUAUGUUGCAGUUACAAGGGAAUAAGGAAAAGUCAGUAUAGUGCAUUGAAAUGUCUUUUUUAAUUGAGACACACAAGAAAUGUGUUAUAGGUUCCCAAACAUUCUUCAUGUAUUAGAGAUGUUAUAAUAAUCUUUUGAAUAGCCAAGUGAAAAGGAAUGGUUUCACCUGAACAUGUUAGAAUUUAUUGCUACAUUUUUUGUGUGUUGUGGUGGAGAAAUAAAUUUUUAAAUCGCAUUUAUGGAGUCAUUUCAGAACAAGUAGAAAACAUGUAAUCUGGUCACUUUGAAUGUGUAAGUGUUUGUAUCUGAACUCCUCCUGCCCUAUUAAGAGUGGAAGGUUGUACUAUAUGUUACUCAAAAAGUAAUUUUCCCCGGAUAUGCAAUAAGACCUCAGAUUUGACCUAUAAGCUGAAUGUCAUAAGCUAUCCAUUAGCUAUGCUGGAAGCACACCACCAACAACAAAAAAGUUUUAAGUAUUUUUAUAGGCUUGCUAAAAUCUGAUUAUAGAACCAAGGCAGUCAAAUACCAUGAGUAAGACUGCAGAAACCCUAGAAUUUAACUCCCUAGUUAUUCUUAAUGAGUGAAUCCUGUGCUUUGUGUCUAAAAGCAAUGUAUUGUGCUUUCCAAUUCAGGAAAUGCAUUUUAAUUGCUAUACUCAUUGAUACAUCAAUCUGUCCAUGACAUUCUGACAUAUAUCCAGUUUCCUAUGGAUUCGGUAUAGGAGCAAAUUAAAAGAUGCACUAGAAUGGUAACAUUUAAUCUAUAAUCCUCCAUUUAACCUUUAUGUGGCUGUCACAGAACAAGUCCUGUUUUUAGAGUUGAACCAAAAAACAAACAAAACAAAACAAAACAAAACAAAACAUGCACACACACUAGAGAAACGGCUUUUUUUUUUUUAACCUGGGGACCAUGAAAAAGUUUUGACCAUUCCCCGACCCCCAUGCUUCAACUUUAGCUUUGAUAGUUAAAGUAUGUCUUCCUUCAGUUUAAGUUGAACAAACUUCUGCAUAAGACCCUCCAGAAAACCUCUGAACACAUACAGUUUUGGGGGCAAUGGGGACUGAACUAUGUACAAAUAGGUGAUACUUCAGCACACAAUUCCUGGGAUAAAUUUUAUCCUCUUCUCAUUUUUAUUUUUAUGAACUAUAUGGGGUUUUUUAAACAAGUUACAAGAAGCAAAACACAUUUUACCUUUACUCUGUUACAUAUUUCAAAUUAAGCAGAUCCUAAUUAAUUGGGUUACAUUAUGUAACAAUAGCCUUUUUAAUAUCAAAUGGUUUUUAUGAUCUGUCUUCAAUUUUUCUUAAAAUGAGACUGCACUAAAGAUUUUCUUGACAUUUCUGAGAAUUUCAUUUUCAGUUUCAAAAAAUUAUUUAUUCCUUUAAUCUUUCAAUGUGGAAAAGUAAUGAAUAUUGAUUCAUUUUUAGAAGCGCUAACAUCCAACUAGGUAAACUUCAUGAGUGAUGGCUAUUAAUGUUCUCUUUCAUCUUAUAGACAGAAAAUCAAAGCUAUUUAAAGUAAAGGAUUUGUUUCAAAUCAAUGUAUGUCCACAAAUUAACAUUAAUGUUUACAAUACUUUCUGUGAUAAUUGUGUCUUACUUGGGUGUAUAUAUGUCUUUAUAUCUAUCUGUAAAGAUAUAGUUGCAAGUAGAUGAGAGACGAAUGUUCAUGUUUCUAUAUGGUCUGAAUAAAAGUGUUAUCACUAUGCUAACUUGCAGUGUUAUAAAAUGCACCAAUGGCUCUUUGUGCCACUCCUUCAUUUUCAGUGGUUACCAAGAUAGUCAAAUUAAACUGCUGAUGUGAUAAUCAUCCAAACAUUUAAUUUUAACACUAUGAUUAUAGAAUUUUUUUAUUUCUAUGAGAUUUACCUAUAGUAGCUUUCUGUUUAAUGUUCAAUGUUCUAUAGGAGUUUCCUUUUAAAUGUUCAGAGCAGGAGCUAUACCCUCUAGGAUAUGCAAAUAAUCAAGUCUUAGCGACCUUAUAAAAUAUAAUCCACAUUAUGAAUCAAACAGAAUGAGCCUUCAGAUCUGAUUGCCUAAGGCUCAAAAUGUUAAUGCUCCUGAAAUGCCUUGUACAUAUUAGCUAGUUGAAAUUGCAUUAAAACAAGAGAACGAAUUGUAGUCUUGACCUCAGUCUCAUUUCACCAGCCUUUGCCUGCUACUGCCAACCUGAGAGGGGAGCUUCUGCUCUGCAGAUGGAUGGACAGCUGCUGAUCUUCACCUCCUGUCUGUUCCCACAAUUCUAAAAGAAUUAGGCCUGAGGAACUUAAUCUUCUGGUGUUCCAUUGUGAACUGACUUUAUUAAAUUUUUUCCAAAGUUCAGUGUUCUUCAGUUCUUUCUCAGAGUACAAAUUGAAGAGACACAGAGCCAGUUCCAAAUGAACUGAAAUUGUUUUGUAAAAAAUUAAUUCAAACAAUAAUGCCAUGGAAAAGCACUUUGAAUUUUUCAAUUCCCAGGCUAUUGAUUCUAAAAAAGAAACAAUUCUAAAUUAUCCACAUGUUCUCAUUUAUUAGUCUAGAGCUCUUGCCCAAAGAAUUAUUUGCCAAGGUAAUAUAUAGAACAUCAGGAUGAUUUACUUGCUUUUCUAAUACCAUUUUGCCCACAAACUCUAUGGAACUGAAAGCAUGUCAGCAGCAAAAGAAGGUCCACUAGCAGCUAUAAAAGAGAGCUUACUAAUGAACAAUAAAUAUCUAAAAGUAAAGGGAAAGGAGCCAAAUUCCAUUUUCAAAAGCCAAAAUUCUGCAGUAGGUAAAUAUCACAGAUAGCAUUGCUUAUUAUUUAUAAUCACUACUAAGAGUAAUCUAUCAUUUCUUUAAAUCCUCAAAAUAGGUCUCUGCCAGCCACAUUAACUGCCUGCAGAAAAGUUUGUUAUGACUGCCUGGUUUUGUAAAGUCCAGACAACUUUACACUAAGCUGAAUAAUGUUCAUUUACUCAAAAGCUAGUCUAAAAUUGUAGAGUUAAUGAACACUAAACCAAAGUUAGUGCUUUAACUGAAAGAUAAUUUACUGUACCCUUUGGAGUCCAGUCCGGUACCAUCAAGAUCUGGGAAAAUACAACUGUUACCAAGAAUAACUGUAAAAUGUGCUGGGAAUGCAAUGUCCUGAGAUAAGGAAGAACUGCCUGAAACAGCCUGGAUCUUAUUCCUGUACUUCCUAGGGAAUGUAACAUCUCAAGUUAAAGAGGAACUGCCCGGAACAGCCCGGGGAUUGUUCCUCUCUCCUGAGAAGGAAGAUUACCUCCAAAGCUCAUCCACUGAGUCACACUGCCCCUGUGGUGGAGGGCGGGCUGCCUUUCCAGGUUCCUCAGCUGUGGUGUAACUGAAGCAGGCACAAUCAAGACUCCAUCUGCUCGAGGCAGCUUUCUCGAACCUUGGGGAACCUACUCACAAUGGAUCACAGGCUUCUUUUGUUUUGUUUCUUGCUGCCUAUCUGUAAGUAAUUAACUUGCUUCAUGUAACGUGUUGCAUAUGAGUGUGUUCUGUCUCAUAGACUCAGGGAAUUGGUAACACUGCAGCUGAGGACGCAGUGGACAGAAGUGUUCAGACUCCUGUUCCUUGUGGUUGACACAGUGAUGAUGAUCUCUUCUGUCCUCCACAGAGUGGAAGUCCUCUCUUGGGAUUGGUUAUUGGUGAAACCACUUCGCAAUUUAUUAAGAUGGCAAAAGCUUACGGAGGGACAGAUUUGAGGGGAAGAUCAAGAUUUUUCUGUCAGUAUUGCAAAUAGUCAAGAAUAUGUGGUCCAAGAAGUGAUCAUUAUCUUUGGCAUUGUGCAAGUCAUUAGUGACCUUCACAUGAACAGUCUCAGUGGAGUGUUGGAGGAAAAAGCCUAACUGAAGAAGGUUCAAGAGUGAAUGGAAAAAGAGCAGUAGUAUGUGGAGAGUACAGACAAGUAUUUCCAGGAGCCUUUCUGUAAAGAGUGGUAGAGAAUGGGACAUCAUUUUUGGAUGGGGGAAGAGUUAUUUAUAGCAUGUUCAUAUGCUAAUGGAAGUGAUCUACUCAUGGGGAAAAUCUUGAUGAUGCAAGAAAGAAAGGGAUUUGUUGGAAUCUUGUCCUAUAACGGGUGAGAGGGGAUGGGUUCUAGAAGAAAAGGCAUGGGUCUUUGUUUGAGAUCAGGCAAUUCAUCUGUAGGAACCAGUAGGAAGAUGGUUAAGUGGGUACCUGUGGUAGUGGAUGUUUGUGAACAUUCUUUUCUUUUCCAUUGUUUCUAUUUUCUCAAUAAAGUGGGAAGCAAAAAUCAGCUGAGUGAAGAUGAGGAAGAAGGUGUUAAAGGUUUGAAGAAAAAAGGAAAAGGAUAUACUAAUCUAAGAGGACAAGUAAGUAGAACAUAGAUAAUGAAAAUGCUGGCCCUUAGGACUGUUGGGCCUAAAUGCUCAUAUUAUAUUGGUAGUCACAAAUUUGAACUUUCUCUAGAGCCAAUUUUUGCAUGUGUGUGCAGGCCUGGAGUAGUUGGAGAGUUGGAUUUAAUAGAAUUGAGGGUCAAGCAACUACAACCAGGGAAGAGUGGGACAAGGGAGAUAAAGGAUAUUGGCAGGGGAGCAAUUAUAAACAUGGACCAUGAUCAAAACUGGACAGGAAGGAAAAUAGAGAUAAGAGGGGUGGAAGGUUAAAAAUAGUGAAAAUGAGAUAGAAUGAAUAGGUUGUAGGUCCCUGUAAAGUUGAAGAAGUAUUAUUAUGCAGUACUCGUUAUUGAAAUGAGGUCACUAUGCUUAAGGCACAGUGAAUCCUAGAAAAUAGUGGUUUUGUUUCUCAUUAGGCAAUACAUUCCUCCUUGCUCCAGAAUGCAACAUACAUGUAUCCUUUUCUGUACUAUUUUUUAUUAAGAAUUCAUACUUAAUUCCACUGACUGCCACUCAAUUUUAAUGUACAGUAGGGAAUUCCUGUACUAUGUAUUAUGAAUCCAUUCCUUUGAAUUUCAUUUAUAAUACUUCAUGACUGACACCUGGCUUUCCACCAAGACUCAAUUUUCAUAGCAAGCCUCAUCAUCAUAAGCCCCCAAAUUAACAGGAUGAGGAGGAAGAAUUGGCAGGCUAAAGAAGAUGAUUAUAUCAAUUAAUGCAGAAAAAGCAUUUGAUAAAAUCCAAUAUUCAUUUGUAAUUAAAAACUCUCAGCAAGUUAGGGAUAGGAAUUACUUCAACUUAAUGAAGAGUGUCUUUAAAAACCUUAUUUUCAUCAGUUAUAACAAAUGUACCACUCUGGUGGUGAAUGUUGCUAAGGAGGGAAGCUAUACAUGUGUGGGGAAAGGAGAUGUGUGAGCAAUUUCUGUACCUUCUACUCAAUCUUCUGUGAGACUAAAAUUGC